AGUUAACACAUAAAAGUGUAUCUUCUUCACAUCUUUCUUUGUACAGAGAAUUUGAGAAAUGGAGAGUCCUUCGCCUGACCAGUUAGAGAUCUUAGAAGAUGCCUAUGCAUUUUCCGCAAAAGGCGGAGCCUAGGCUUCGAUAAGUUCCCAAAGGCGCCUGAAUAUUUUGAGGCCUCUUACCAUUAGGCGUCUUAGCACGUAGGCCCCGCUACUGGACCAUUUUGGAUGGAUUUCUCAUUAGGCCCUGGGAUCUGGGCGCCGCCUAGGCCACAACCCUUAACUAAACAUGAAAACAAGAAGAUCUGGUUUUCUUGUUAAGUGAAAGAUACUUCCGGUGUACUGUAAGCCCAAAGACCAUAAGUUUGAAUCUUGAAAAAAAAUUAAGAAAACAGUGGAGGGAGGAAGAAGUGAGAUAGGACAUUGAAGUUCAACUUUACAGCGAGAGGAAGUAGCCCCGAAACACGAAGUUCAUAACAAACAAGUUCAAAAACAGCUAGGAAAACUAAUUCGGAAGGAGCAAGAGGAAGAAGAUAUCGUAAGGAGAAAGGGGCGGACGGUUGCAAUACACGAGUUCCAUGAGAGAGCAAAAAAAGCGUUUGGAAGCAGGGAUGCGAUUGAAGUUUAUACAAAUGACACUAAAAGACAUUGGGUACAUUUGCAAGUCUCAUGAGUGGCUUUCGAACAACAACAUAGUCCUAUACAUCCGAUUGUUAUAUGAAAAAAUGGAUGGUGAUGCACGCAAAAAUAAGUUUGGAUUUAUAAACCCAGCAGCCAUUCAUUAUAAAGUCAAUAAGGAGGUGUUCGUGAGAAAUGUAUUAAAUGGACUGCAAGAUUCAGUUCAUAGUCGAAAAUACAUAUUUAUUCCUUGUAAUACAGGGCGUAGGUACAAACUAUAUGAGCGAAUGAGCAUGUAAGUUGAUUUUGGGUUGGAACAUUAUUUGUAAUGCAUAGAAGGGUUAGUGCUUAAACCCAUGUCACCUCCCUUGUAGGAUUUGUGAAACUAGUAUCCAGUUUUGACUAGCUGAAUAUCUCAUUUUCCUGUCACCAGUGUCUCGCAAUCUCUGGGUCGAGAAUUGGGUUUCAAGACGUCUGAAAAAAAAGUAUUCUGGGUAGAUGUGAAGGCAGCACACUCCUAAACAAAAAGGAAGCUGGGAGUGUGGAUUCUACAUUAUGUUGUAUAUGAAGCACAUAAUAGAAAGUUAUGACACUGUAAUGCAGAACCCUCACGAGAUGUUUAAGUUGGGAAUGAAAUAUGGUACGUCGGAGAUUGAUGAAGUUAGAAAAGAGUGGAUCGAUUAUGUUGCUCCAUUUCUUCGGAAGUAGUGAAGUUACCACAUCUUCAAUGCGGACAAAGUAGUGAUUUAUAAUGCAGUUUACUUGCUGCAUUAUCAACAUUACUAUUCAAAUCUAACAAACCAUAUCCAUGUUCUAUCUUUGGAUUAUCUAACAUUACUAUUCCUAAUCUAAUUAGGAGCACCGACUGCAUUAUCAACCACUACUUUAUCUGCAUUGAAGUCUUCUUAACUUGUAUCCUGACAUACAAGUUAAGGAUCAUUAUAAAAUUACCUUUUUUAUCUUGGAUAUUGUAAUUUUUCUUUGAUACUUCCAUUCUUGUUGGAAAUUUCAUUUGCUUUCUAAUUAAACUAAACUUCAUGCCAGCUUAGAAAAUGAAAUUCAAAAGCGACAAACAGACAAAACGGCCAAACUGUUUAGAUGGCGCAUAAAUGGACCUAGCCUAAUUAU